ensembl:lncRNA
CUAUUGUUUAAGUUUAAAAAUGUCAGCUGCUUUGUUGCUGUCCUGCUCAGUAGACAGGAGACAUUUAAGCUUCUUUUUUUUUUAGAGACUAUAUUACAUUUAUUCUUAAAAGCAUACUACCUUAGAAAAACUAAAGUGAGAUCAGUUAAGCUCGCAUGAGGCAUCUACAGCGAGAGAAUCAAACAGAUAUGCAAUGCUGAAAUUCAGGUAAUGAUGUGUGAAUACAGGAACAUGCUUUACAUUUCAAAGAUGUAUCUGUGCUGCUCCACCUGUCUGUGACAGCAGUGAAGAAAACUGCCACACAGACUAAACAUAGACUGAUUGAACUUUAACUGGAAGAAAAGAUCUGACUAGCUUAGUGAUCACUCAAAAAGGAAGAAAAACUAGGCUUAUCUAUAUCACUUAUUUUUCGCAAUAUGAUCUGGAUUUUAUUACAUUUAUGGUAGCCUAAAGAACUGAACAAAGGACUAAUAAUAGGAACACAGGGUAACAUGAAAAGGACCAUGUCCCCCUUAGUGGUUCUAUUUAUUAUUUUAGGAUUGUUGGGGCCAACAUGUGAAAAUCUAAAUAAUUUGACGGACUCAGCAGUUUCACAUCAUACGCCCUCACCAGACCAAAGAGUUACCAGCAGGACCCAACUGAAUGACAGAGCAAUGGAAUACUGGCCUGUGGCCAACCGUACAGAAAUUAAAAUUUUUAGGAGAGGACCACUAGUUAUUUCCAGAAAAUACUGGUACCCUGUUUUAGAAAUAUCAAUUAAAAAAGCACCUCCCAUAUCCCCUGCAAUUACCUCAGCCACAACAUCAACAAAAUCAUUCAGCUCAUCACCAGCAACAACAACUAUGUUGCCCUCUUCAGCUUUCCCAGCAACUGCACAAACAACUACUUCAGGGCCUUCAACAACCAAAACAAAGUCCACCAUUUCAACAGAGCCCCUAACAACCAGCAUUCAGGAACAUAUCAGCAAACAGAAGACCACCACAAGACAAAAAUCAGAAACCACAACCGAGCUUCAAACUUCAGCAGUGCCAGCAACAAUCACCACUUCAGAAACAACAAUCUUACCAACUGCCAACUCAAGACAACAAACAACCAUUACACAUUUUACAACUUCAGCAAUGCUACCAAAAACUACCACUUCAAACAAUAUAGCAUUAGAAACCUCAAGGCAACUAACAGCCACCACAUCAAAGCUCACAAUGUCUGUAUUUCCAGGAACAGCCACUCCAUUAAACACACCAGCAACUACCGCAAUACAGCUAACAAGCAACAUAAAACCCACAACCACUAGAAAUACAUUGGGAUUGACAUUAAAAUGGACACCAUUGGAAACUGGAGCAUCAGAGGGUGCUACAACCAGUACGCAGACAACAACUGUAAAGGAUGACUCAAACGCUCCAAAAGUAACAGCAACUGCCAUUUCAUCUGCAAAUCUGCCAGCUACAUCAGGUGCGGGAGUUAGUUUUGAAAGUACAACAGCUAAAAGAACAUCCAAAACUGCAUCACUGGUUUCAGAUACAACUUUAUUGUCUACAGUGCCACCUGGAACAACAAAUGCAGCAGCAACAAUUAUAGUGCCCCAAACAGGGGUAAUGGCAACACUUCAGCCUACACAAACAGUAGCUACAACAGAGGCAGUGACAAUCAGUGCAUUACAAUCUGCAUCAUCUCCUCAAGUCACAACAGAACUUUUAACAGCCAAAACUGAUCCAAUAACACCAAGUAAAACAACAGUGUCUGAAACUGAAACAGCAUCACCAACAACAAAAAUACCAUCAUCUAAUGAUAUAUUUACAGCUGCAGAGACAAGAAGUGCAACUAAGUUAACAUCAAUAGAAUCAACAUCAGCAUUUCCAGCAACUGCAAUAGGCACAACCAACUCAGCAACUGUUAGCAAAGAGCGAGAAACAAUCAGAAUAACUACAACAGAAGAUACAGUGACAACAACAACAGGCCUAAUAGAGUCUGCUACUACACCCAAAGCUUCUACAUUUGUACAGGUGACAUCAGCAUUGCCAACAACUGCACUGGGCACAACCACAUCAGCAACUGUUAGCAAUGAGCCGGAAACAAUCAGGAUAACUACAACAGAAGAUACAGUGAAAACAACAACAGGUCUAGUAGAGUCUGCUACUACACCCAAAGCUUCCACAAUUUUAACAGUGACAUCAGCAUUGCCAGCAACUGCAUUGGGCACAACCAUAUCAGGAACUGUUAGCAAUGAGCCAGAAAAAAUCAGGAUAACUACAACAGAAGAUCCAGUGACAACAACAACAGGCCUAAAAGAGUCUGCUACUACACCCAAAGAUUUUACUUUUGUACCGCUGACAUCAGUAUUGCCGUCAACUGCAUUGGACACAAGCACAUCAGCAACUGUUAGCAACCAACCAGAAACAAUCAGGAUAACUACAACAGAAGAUACAGUGACAACAACAACAGGCCUAAAAGAGUCUGCUACUACACCCGAAGAUUUUACUUUUGUACCGCUGACAUCAGCAUUGCCAUCAACUGCAUUGGACACAAGCACAUCAGCAACUGUUAGCAACCAACCAGAAACAAUCAGGAUAACUACAACAG